rnacentral:snRNA from 1 species
GAACAUAGGGCAAUCUGACUGUAACAUCUGUCUCCUCAUUCAUUGCCAGGAUUGAUUGGCUCAUCUGGAUGGCUAGGUGAGUGUCCACUUCCUCCUCUACCACUCUAUUUGUUCUUGAUCUUCCCCAGUAGAGGCAGAUCUUUUUUAUUUCAAGGGUAUACAAGUACCUGUCCUCCCCUGAUAGAACCUCCAUGCAUGCUGCAAAAAGGACUCCAUUGGAAGCCAUGUCCUCACCAAUUGUUCUCUCUUGUGCAGAAUUACUUGAAGAAGAGAAAGCAU